rnacentral:lncRNA from 1 species
CAGGAAAUGACAUGGCAGGGAGACUCAUACACAAACAAGGGAAGAAGGAAGUGGGCCCUCUCUUCCUCCAGAUUCGCCAUGUAAUCCACCGGUAAGGGAGGAUGCCAAUGGAAGGUGUCCAGUAAGAUAAGUCUUAUAACACAAAUAGAUUUAUGGUAAUUAAGACUGAGCUAACAGAUGAGAAUCCUAGUCAUUGGCCAAGCAGCAUUUGUACCUAAUAUGACACACUAUUUGGAGUUCAUUCUCUCCUCUGCUACUGGCCUCUUGGGCAAAGAACUGCCCCCACCCCGACUGCUAACCUUGGUCAUGCUGUCCUAACUGUGCUUGCAGGAGAUAAACUUAAAGAAGACUGCUUAACCCUGCCCAGUCAAAAAGAAUACAUCUCUCAACUCUCUUCAUAGAAGUUUCUUUUUGGAGAAGAUGGCAAUUAAUAAAGAAACACACAACCAGUCAAUGUUAACAUGCAAAGAAUAAGAGACUUCGAGAGACUCCCCAUGCUAAAGUAGAUGACCUCAUUCCUAUGAGCAUAAAGACAGCACUGGAUGGAUUCAUUAGAUAUUAAUUUUAAAAAAUGAGAGAAUGAAUCUAGGAUAUACUGAUGUGGAAGCUGUGGAGGUAAAGAGGGGUAGACUUGAUCAAAACAUAUUGUGCAUGUAUGAAUAUGAAACAAAAUAUUACUAUAGCUAAUGGCUGUUUAGAUCAAAGUGCAGUUGGCAAUGGAAAUACGUGGAUAAAUGCUGACGAUAUGUUGUAGAUAGCAUCAACAGGAGUUACUGAGGAAUUAAAUUGUGUAGUGAUUUAAAAAUGAAUAAAGGAUGACUGUUGAUUUAAGAUUUUAGUAACUGAAUAGGGAUUAGAAAUGUAUAGAAUGUAUUAAAG